CGAUCCCACAUGUGCCUUCCCUUCCUGGCCCGCGCCGUCGCCGGCCCUGACCUCCAAUCGUGUCGCCGCCAGGCCCGACACCCAACCGUGUCGUUGCAGAGGCCCGACCUCCCUACGCCGCCGCUCCCCGCUACUCCUAGCUCUCUGCGUCGCCUCCCUGACCCUACCUCCGGCGCCGCCGUCGCCGCCGCCCCAACCUCUGGCGCCGCUGCCGCCCCAACAUCCGGUGCCAUCUCUCCCCGCCCAACCUCCGGCGUCCCCUCGCCCGCCCCAAACUCCCUGCGCCACCACCCCUGGCCCAACCUCUGGCGCCGCCGCCGCCCCUAACUCCGGCGCCGUCUAUCACACCCAAUUUCCAGCGCCCCAACUUCCGGCGCAAGGGUGCCCAGCCCAGCCCUGCGGCGUCAGGAAGGUAGAUUCCGUCAGCUGAAGAAGUUCAAACAGGGCGAGCGCAAAACAGUGUGCGAGCAGUCUGUGCGGGCAUCUAUCUCUCGUUGCUGUUCUUUUUUGUCAUCCUGGUGCCAUCGGUCCAUCUGCAUGAGGCCAUCCUAACGCAGCAGUUGUGUUCGAGGCUCGCUACCUCCUUAGCGUCGAGAUCUCCAUAGCAGGUCGUACUAUGAAGAAGUAGCAGGCCAGACUGAAGAAAAAUAGCAGGUUGAGAGAUUUGCCCUCAUCCAGAGGGGAUGCAGGCCACCGCCAAAUGGAGCAAGGUCGUCCUCAGCCUGUGCCUCCACGAGCCUCAUCUCUCCCUUCCUCCAGCGCGUCGCCGACGAGGCCAACCGCCUACACUGUCUUCGGCUGCAAUGAUGUCGUCUCGACGAGGCCAACCGCCUACACUGACUUCAGUUGCAACGACGUCGUCUCUCUCCAUCAACCUUCUCGUCUCCUCUCAGCCAUCAAGGGAAACGGUGGUGUAGCUUGUUGCUUACAAAGGGAUGAGUGGAAGGUGAAGAACCGAAGAAACUGCAGGUUCAAAAGUUGAAGGUCUGCUCAACAUUUUUGUUACAGAUGCCUCUUUAGUAUUUACAGUUUCAGUCAUCCACCGGCCUCCUCCAUCACGCUCGUCACCUCGUCAGCGCUGGAGUGAAGGUCGGCUCCUCUCCACUCUGGAGUUCGGUUUUUACUGAUGUUGUAGCUCCUAAAUCCGUCGUGGACACCCCUGUGACACCCCGUGUGUGGCCGGUGGAGCUCAGCCGCCCCACUGGUUCCCCUUCCCAUGCAUCACGAAUCAGCGCGGACAUAACAUGCUAGCAAUUUUAUGCUUUGGCUACUAUUAAUGUGUUUGUGCAA